rnacentral:rRNA from 1 species
CAGCCGCCGCGGUAAUACGUAGGUGGCAAGCGUUGUCCGGAAUUAUUUGGCGUAAAGGGCUCGCAGGCGGUUUCUUAAGUCUGAUGUGAAAGCCCCCGGCUCAACCGGGGAGGGUCAUUGGAAACUGGGAAACUUGAGCGCAGAAGAGGAGAGUGGAAUUCCACGUGUAGCGGUGAAAUGCGUAGAGAUGUGGAGGAACACCAGUGGCGAAGGCGACUCUCUGGUCUGUAACUGACGCUGAGGAGCGAAAGCGUGGGGAGCGAACAGGAUUAGAUACCCCUGUAGUCCCUGUCUCUUAUAC